rnacentral:rRNA from 1 species
UAGGGAAUCUUCCGCAAUGGGCGAAAGCCUGACGGAGCAACGCCGCGUGAGUGAUGAAGGUCUUCGGAUCGUAAAACUCUGUUAUUAGGGAAGAACAAAUGUGUAAGUAACUAUGCACGUCUUGACGGUACCUAAUCAGAAAGCCACGGCUAACUACGUGCCAGCAGCCGCGGUAAUACGUAGGUGGCAAGCGUUAUCCGGAAUUAUUGGGCGUAAAGCGCGCGUAGGCGGUUUUUUAAGUCUGAUGUGAAAGCCCACGGCUCAACCGUGGAGGGUCAUUGGAAACUGGAAAACUUGAGUGCAGAAGAGGAAAGUGGAAUUCCAUGUGUAGCGGUGAAAUGCGCAGAGAUAUGGAGGAACACCAGUGGCGAAGGCGACUUUCUGGUCUGAAACUGACGCUGAUGUGCGAAAGCGUGGGGAUCAAACAGG